UAAUAUUAAUUUACACACAAAAUAGUGAGAGCAAACGCAGUGGAGCAUGUGUAAUUGUGGAUGUAAGUAAUUGUUUAUUGUUAUAAUUAAAAGAGAAAAAGAGAAAAGAGAGAGAGAGAUAGAGAGAGAUAGAGAGAAGAAAUUUUUUUCUAUUUUUAUAAUAUCUCACACUUGAGUGUAAGUCUACACCCAAUUUUUGUUGAAAAGGAUCUUAUUGAAGGAUCUCUAUUGAAGGAUCUUAUUGAAGGAUCUCUAUUUAUUAUUAUUUUUUUUGUGCAAAGAUUUGUUUUCAUUCAUUCGAAUCAAACCAAGUACAAGAAAGAGUGAUUCAAAGAUCACAAAGUUUAAAACAUAAUUAAAGGAGACAUUCCCCAAUGCCAAAACAUGAUAGAUAAAGUGAAACGACAUAAAAUCCAUAAGAGCUUUGAGACACAAGCUAAGAAGCAUUAUGGCACAUGUGAGGUCACGGUUAGUCUAAUGGUUUUCCACGAGCGAAUCGAUGGACGACAAAGUGGUCACUGUCGAGAGACGAGGUGACGUUGAAGAAGGUUCCAAGACCGAGGUUCUCGGCGGCAUGAGAACGGCGAGCUGGAGGUGCUCAUCGGCAAGGAGAUGAGUGGUGACGGGUCUAAAGUCGGAUGGAUUUGGAGAUAGAAAGCUGAGGAAGCUUUGGUAACCACCGCUCCUUGGAGACGGGAUCAUAAUGCCAUUCUUCCUCAAGCUUCCAAUUUCAUGAAUACAAACUAUAAAGUUGAUAAUAUAAACUUGUUUGAAAUCAAUAUUCAGAAGAAAUGGGUAGAACGGAUUGAAGAAGCAACGGUAACCACCGCUCCUUGGAGACGGGAUCAUAAUGUCGUUCUUCUUCAAUUUAUUACCUUCAUGGAUAAUACGCUUAUGUGAAUUUACGGGCAAGGUUCCCAAAUAAAUUUUGUACCAAGGUAGCAACAAUGGUAAA